UACUUAGGGGGCUAGCGUUGUCCGGAAUCAUUGGGCGUAAAGAGCGUGUAGGCGGUCCGGUAAGUCCGCUGUGAAAGUCGGGGGCUCAACCCUCGAAUGCCGGUGGAUACUGUCGGGCUAGAGUGCGGAAGAGGCGAGUGGAAUUCCUGGUGUAGCGGUGAAAUGCGCAGAUAUCUGGAGGAACACCGGUGGCGAAGGCGGCAUCCUGGACCGGUAUUGACGCUGAGGCGCGAAAGCUAGGGGAGCAAACGGG
rnacentral:rRNA from 1 species